rfam:Ectocarpus siliculosus strain Ec 32, whole genome shotgun sequence assembly, chromosome LG27
GGGCCUGUAGGCUAAUGGAUAAGCCGCCACGCUUCUAACGUGGAUAUUGCGAGUUCGAGUCUCGCCAGGGCUG